ACGGAGGAUGCAAGCGUUAUCCGGAUUCAUUGGGUUUAAAGGGUGCGUAGGCGGAAUAAUAAGUCAGUGGUGAAAGCCUGCGGCUUAACCGUAGAAAUGCCAUUGAUACUGUUAUUCUUGAGUAUAGUUGAGGUGGGCGGAAUGUGUAAUGUAGCGGUGAAAUGCUUAGAUAUUACACAGAACACCAAUUGCGAAGGCAGCUCACUAAGCUGUUACUGACGCUGAGGCACGAAAGCGUGGGGAGCAAACAGGAUUAGAUACCCUGGUAGUCCACGCCGUAAACGAUGAUCACUCGUUGUUGGCGAUACACCGUCAGCGACUGAGCGAAAGCAAUAAGUGAUCCACCUGGGGAGUACGGCGGCAACGCUG
rnacentral:rRNA from 1 species